rnacentral:rRNA from 1 species
UACGGGGGGGGCAAGCGUUGUUCGGAAUUACUGGGCGUAAAGGGCUCGUAGGCGGCCAACUAAGUCGGAUGUGAAAUCCCCAGGCUCAACCUGGGAACUGCAUCCGAUACUGGAUGGCUUGAAUCCGGGAGAGGGAUGCAGAAUUCCAGGUGUAGCGGUGAAAUGCGUAGAUAUCUGGAGGAACACCAAAGGCGAAGGCAGUGUCCUGGGGAGCAUCUGACGCUCAGGUGCGAAAGCUAGGGGAGCGAACGGG